AGAGUUUGAUCCUGGCUCAGGAUGAACGCUGGCGGCGUGCUUAACACAUGCAAGUCGAACGAAGCACUUUAUUUGAUUUCCUUCGGGACUGAUUAUUUUGUGACUGAGUGGCGGACGGGUGAGUAACGCGUGGGUAACCUGCCUUAUACAGGGGGAUAACAGUUGGAAACGGCUGCUAAUACCGCAUAAGCGCACGGCAUCGCAUGAUGCAGUGUGAAAAACUCCGGUGGUAUAAGAUGGACCCGCGUUGGAUUAGCUAGUUGGUGAGGUAACGGCCCACCAAGGCGACGAUCCAUAGCCGACCUGAGAGGGUGACCGGCCACAUUGGGACUGAGACACGGCCCAAACUCCUACGGGAGGCAGCAGUGGGGAAUAUUGCACAAUGGGCGAAAGCCUGAUGCAGCGACGCCGCGUGAGCGAAGAAGUAUUUCGGUAUGUAAAGCUCUAUCAGCAGGGAAGAUAAUGACGGUACCUGACUAAGAAGCACCGGCUAAAUACGUGCCAGCAGCCGCGGUAAUACGUAUGGUGCAAGCGUUAUCCGGAUUUACUGGGUGUAAAGGGAGCGCAGGCGGUGCGGCAAGUCUGAUGUGAAAGCCCGGGGCUCAACCCCGGUACUGCAUUGGAAACUGUCGUACUAGAGUGUCGGAGGGGUAAGCGGAAUUCCUAGUGUAGCGGUGAAAUGCGUAGAUAUUAGGAGGAACACCAGUGGCGAAGGCGGCUUACUGGACGAUAACUGACGCUGAGGCUCGAAAGCGUGGGGAGCAAACAGGAUUAGAUACCCUGGUAGUCCACGCCGUAAACGAUGA
rnacentral:rRNA from 1 species